GUGUGUUACUGACAGCGUUAUUUAGAUGGGGGUGGUGGAUGAGUUCUAAAGAAAUAGAGGAGGAGGAAGUGGUGUUUCUUAUGGAGGACUGCCAGCAAACUGUGCACCCUUUCAGCUGGGGAGCUGCUCUGGAAAGGAUUGUUAGUGCUGGAAAAGCCACUUCUAUUUGCCUACGCUCUGUGAAGUCCUAAACCCAAGCAGCUGGCAAGGCUGCCCAGGUGCAUUUGACACUUUGUCCACUGAUGUCAUCACUCCAUCAGAGAAGGCCACCAUAUUGGUUGGACACGACCUUCCCUUGAUGAAGCCAUGCUGUCUGUCUCAGAUCACCCGCUCAUCUGUCAUGUGCCUUAACAUGUCUUCCAGGACGGUCUGUUCCAUCAUCUUCCCUGGCACAAAGCAUUAUCUUAUUCUGGAGGAAAAAGAAUCCCUUAAUCCAGGCCAGUAUAAUUCACUUCCAAAUUAGUCCCCC
ensembl:lncRNA